AGACUCUCCUGAGUGGUGCCUGAACCCAGACAUGUACAUUGAAUGGAUGGUAAAUGUGCCGUCCUGACAUCCCGCCAAUCCAUCUUCACUGACUGCAUCUGGGGCUUUUCUUCUCCUGACUUCAACGCAAGAACUCAGACACAUGGUCAGAGACUCAUACCAGUGAUGAUAUCGGAGGUGGGAAGGUUCCACCAUUGAGUGACUGCUGCAGGCAGGACCCGGCUGAGAUCUCAAAGGAAACUGAGGGCCAUUUCUCCUGACUGAAGUUUGCCAACAAGUAGGUCUGUAGGCAGACUGAUGGUAUCUUGCCACAAGACGGUGCAGAAUUGGGUCUGAGGUUUCCAGGCUAUAUGGAGUCUCUGUUACCCAUUGAUUCUGUAGGAUACAGCAUGAGGCUGCACGUGCUUGAAGCCAUUAAAUACCCCAGAAGCAUGGUA